rnacentral:rRNA from 1 species
CGCGUCGGGCGAAAGGGAAUCCGGUCCCCAUUCCGGAACCCGGUCGCGGAACCGUUUCACGUCGGGCCCGCGCCGAAAGGCGCAAGCUCGUCGGGGUAACCCAACAUGACCCGGAGAAGCCGUCGGGAGGUCUGGGAAGAGUUUUCUUUUCUGUUUGAGCGUUCGGGUUCCCUGGAAUUGCCUAGCGCAGAGAGAGGGAAUGGGACGCGUAGAGCACCGCAGUUGCGGCGGUGUCCAGACAUGCCCUUCGGACCUUGAAAAUCCGGGGACGGGCCACGUGGAGGUGUCGCGCCGGUUCGUACCCAUAUCCGCAGCAGGUCUCCAAGGUGAAGAGCCUCUAGUCGAUAGACGAAUGUAGGUAAGGGAAGUCGGCAAC